AUUGAACGCUGGCGGCGUGCUUAACACAUGCAAGUCGAGCGGUAACAGGCGUAGCAAUACGUGCUGACGAGCGACGAACGGGUGAGUAAUGCUUCGGAAUCUUCCUUGUAGUGGGGAAUAACCUGGGGAAACUCAGGCUAAUGCCGCAUACGAACCAUGGUUGAAAGCGGGGGAUCGCAAGACCUCGCGCUAUAAGAUGAGCCGAAGUCGGAUUAGCUAGUUGGUGGGGUAAAGGCCUACCAAGGCGACGAUCCGUAGCUGGUCUGAGAGGACGACCAGCCACACUGGGACUGAGACACGGCCCAGACUCCUACGGGAGGCAGCAGUGGGGAAUAUUGGACAAUGGGGGCAACCCUGAUCCAGCGACGCCGCGUGUGUGAAGAAGGCCUGCGGGUUGUAAAGCACUUUUAGUGGGGACAAAAAGCCGAGGGCUAAUGCCUUUCGGUCUUGAUUUAACCCAAAGAAAAAGCACCGGCUAACUCUGUGCCAGCCGCCGCGGUAACAC
rnacentral:rRNA from 1 species